rnacentral:rRNA from 1 species
UACGUAGGGGGCUAGCGUUGUCCGGAAUCAUUGGGCGUAAAGCGCGUGUAGGCGGUCCGGUAAGUCCGCUGUGAAAGUCGGGGGCUCAACCCUCGAAUGCCGGUGGAUACUGUCGGGCUUGAGUACGGGAGAGGCGAGUGGAAUUCCUGGUGUAGCGGUGAAAUGCGCAGAUAUCAGGAGGAACACCGAUUGCGAAGGCAGCUCGCUGGAACGUUACUGACGCUGAGACGCGAAAGCGUGGGGAGCAAACAGG